GAUGAGGUGGCCGAGAGGUUACAGGCGAUGGGCUGCUAAUCCAUUGUGCUCUGCACGCGUGGGUUCGAGUCCCACCCUCAUCG
rnacentral:tRNA from 1 species